rnacentral:rRNA from 1 species
GACGAACGCUGGCGGCGUGCCUAAUACAUGCAAGUCGAACGAGAGCGCCCGGUGCUUGCCCUGGUCAAUCUAGUGGCGAACGGGUGAGUAACACGUGGGUAACCUGCCCAUCAGAGGGGGAUAACAUCCGGAAACGGAUGCUAAAACCGCAUAGGUCUUCGAACCGCAUGGUUUGAAGAGGAAAAGAGGCGCAAGCUUCUGCUGAUGGAUGGACCCGCGGUGCAUUAGCUAGUUGGUGAGGUAACGGCUCACCAAGGCCGUGAUGCAUAGCCGACCUGAGAGGGUGAUCGGCCACACUGGGACUGAGACACGGCCCAAACUCCUACGGGAGGCAGCAGUAGGGAAUCUUCCGCAAUGGACGCAAGCCUGACGGAGCAACGCCGCGUGAGUGAAGAAGGUGUUCGGAUCGUAAAACUCUGUUGUUAGGGAAGAACAAGUGCUAGAGUAACUGUUAGCGUCUUGACGGUACCUAAUCAGAAAGCCACGGCUAACUACGUG